AAAUAUUUUCAAAUGGUAUUGUGUUUCGGUACGUGGGGGCCUUUCAUCUCAAAUUCUGACUAUAUGGUGGAUUCAAUGAUGCAAAUUUUGUUAGGAUGUGAUGAAUGAUAAAAUUAUGUUGAAUGCAUUGCAAUCAUGCCUCAUCUCCAUCAUACUAUAGAGUUAGGAGUUAGGAGGUCCCGUUUAUCAAGAUUUGUGCCAUUCAGUACAUUAAAUAAUGUUAUAUUGUAUCUAUUGAGUAAGAAUUUUUUAGGGUGAUGAUGAUGAUUUAGAUUUAGCUAUAUAGAUUCUCAAGGCUGCUAUCAAAUAUCUCUAUAUUUUCUAUGGUAAUGAUGUGGUGUGUUUAGAUGGUCUAGAGCUUCUCUGGCAACCACAUAGCUGCAAUUUCCAUGGGGAUUCCUGCAUAGCUAUUAGUAAAAUGUUUCUGCACGUUUCUUAUUUUGUGACAUCCGCAAUCUUAUGAGCCCUCUUAUUUUUCGUGUAUAAAUCCCUAAUUAUUCUUUCCUUUUUGAAAUGUAGUCAUUUUGGGUUAUGUGUACUACAUAAUGUGCAAUAUAAUAUGCAAAGCAUAUCCACUUUUCUUAUUUCAUGGAUUCUGCUAUCAUAUGUUCCUUAUUCUUUUUUUUUGGAUGAAUUAAGUGGAAAUAAAAUAUUAUUGGGAUUUUUUCAUACAUAACACCUAAAACUAUUGAAAAUACAUAUUUAACUACUAAGCUUCUAUAUUUACUAAUAUACCACCUAAAACACCUCUUUUAAUCAAUUAUAACAUUCCGUUUAAACCUUAUGUAAAAAAUCACUAUCAACGACCGUCUUCCCCAUCAAUAUCCGUUUACAGUGAAUACAAGAAUCUCAUCUCUUCAAUGGAGUGGUAGAAUAGAAGUAAUAGGGUAUUUUAAGUGGUUUUGAUAAGGAAUUGGUUUGACUAGGUAAAUAAGAGUGUAUUUCUCUUUAUGAUUUGAUACCUAAAAUUGAAGUGUGUAGAAUAUUAAGUUUGGUUUAUUCUUUGAUAUUCCUUCAAGCUAAAAAAUAAAAGGUAUUGCUUUUCUACUCAAUUUUCUUCUCAAUCUAAUUAAUGGGCAAGUCUAUUUUUGUUUUUGUUCUUUUAAUAUUUCAAUUUUCCACUUUAUUGUCAUUUCGAGGCACCAUGUGCACUGCAACAUGCUCGACUUUCUUUGAAUGUCCAUUUACAUUCCUUAUCAGGCAGUUGCAGAUAUAUAUUUGUAGCGGAAGGUAUUGUUGUGUGAGCCAACAUGGUGAGUUAUUCAGUAAGUUUUUUGUGUUAUUGUCCAUUUCGAAUCCCCAAUGAUGAGCGCUUAGUUUGUUUAGUAGGUGAAGUUUUGGGUACCCAUUACGAAUAGUCUUAUUCUCAUUGUUUUAAAAGAGCACGGGUUUUUAUGCUUUUUCAUUUCUUGUAUCUUUCAACUACAUUUUUUUAGCUGAUUGAUGUUUGAAGUGAAUUUCAACUAAAAAAGCUUGAUAUUGGCAACUUGGAUGGGACAAUGAGUUGUAAAUCUCAAGCAUUCCAAAAAAUGGGUGAAUGGUAUAAGAUGUGUGAGGAUAAGAGCUACUAUGCUUGUCAAAUGGAUAAUAGUCCCCUUGUCUAUCUUGAUAAGAGCUGCUGUUCUUCUGAAAUAGAUAAUAGUCUAUCACCUAUGUAAGUUUGAGGGCCUCUGUCUUCAUUAUAAUUUUUAUACAUGUGGAUGAAUAGUAAACUUUUUUGUUUUUUUUUUUUGCGUUUUGCCACAGCAAAGCUAAGGAUGAAGUGGGAAUCAGUGUGUUAACUGCUUAAAUUACUGAAAUCCUUCUUGUGAAGAUUUUCUGCAAAGUCCAUUGAAAGCAGGCAAAAAAUGCUAUCAACAUAUUUGAUAACUUGAAUGUUAAAUGAUUUAUUUAUUUACUAGUGUUGCAUCCUGGAAUAUUCACGGUGAUAGAGAAAUAUAAAGUUUAAUCUCUUAGCUUUGUACAAAGAUCUAGCACACAAUGAGAUAAAAGAGAGCGUGCAGCGUUUAUAAUGAACAUCAAAUUUUUUAUGUCAGAACCCCUAAAAAAGGGUAAAAAAACCCAUGGGGCUUUGCCUAGUUUGAAUAAAUCCACUAGUUUUCAGUCAUUUACAGAUGAAGCCCUGGUUUGGGGGGAAGGCCUUGGCUUGAUGUAGCAAAUAUACAUCAUAUAGAGUGCAUUACAUGGUGUGAAUUGGAAGAAUUCGUAUUGACUUAUUUGUUUGGUCGGCAGGACCAUAGUAGGCAGGUGACGGAGGGCGGAAAGAUCUUAGUCGGGUGGCUAGAAAAUUGCAUGAAGUGGCAAGUUUUUUUUUGAGAAAGCUAUAUUUGAAAAUCCUCUUAAUAUCCCCAUUUUCACUGUGAAACAGAGUUAGGUAGGCUUUUUUAUGUGAUGGUCACCAGACUUAUGCCAUAUUCAAAACAUAUUGUAGGGUUUUGUUUUUGUUUAUGAGGAGAUAAUCUUUGUGGGCAGAGAUGAUGAUUUAGGGUUUAGUAAUAUCUCUAGAUUUUUUAGAGCAUUAAUGUGGCAUUUCUGACUGGCUGGGAACUUUUCAGGCCAUAUAAGUGCCAUCACCAGAGUAAUUCAUGCAUAACAAGUCGAAGAAAUCUUCUUUUCGUUUUCUAAAUUUUUUGAUGUUGGAUAUGUAUAUUCAUAAAUUUUGUGAUAUGAAUGUAAUUGAUCUAUCUUAUUUCUUGGAAUUAGUUGUCAUCCACUUGUUCAACGACUCUUCUUCUUCUUCUUCUUUUUAUUUCCUUUUUAUUAUGAAGUCCUUUUAUGUUUUGGGCGCACUAUAAUGAACAGUGUGUUAGCUGUGAAGUUCUAAUCAUUCUUUUAUAUGACUUUUGUUGAUGUAUAUUUGUAGUGGAUAGCCUUCUUGUGGCAUAAGCAUUGCUGCUUGUGUUGUUUUACCAAUUUUUCUUGGUGUUGUGGCUUUUAUCCAGUAUUAAUGAGUAAUACUUACCUUUUUUAGAAAGGUGUUGAUGGAGUUACUGUUUUCCAUCUUUCAGUGAAUCUUCCAUGUCCAAGUUUUCCUUGUCCUCAGUUUGACUAGUUUUUCCAUCAAGGAGUGCUACCUGAAAUCCCAAGAAAAUUGAUGCUACGAUUUUACUUUUCUUGUUUGUAGUUUAAAUUGAGCGGAUGGAGCAAAAACUUCUUCUUGGUUCUCUACCAUGGAUUUUAGCAGAUAAGUUGGUCUUUCUCUCUUUCUCUUGAAACAUUGUGCAUUAACCUCGGUAAUUUCUUCUUCUGUUUCAGUGCAUUAGUUAGAUUUCAAGAUAGGGAUCCAAAUUAGUUUUAAUAUUUCUCUCGUUUAAUAUUCAUUGGUAAUUUUGAUUGCACUGGUCCCAUGCCGUAAUGUAUCUGCAUGAUGGGGAAAUGGGCUUUCCCUCUAGAAAAUAGACUUGAUUUUUACCUAGGUUUUCAGAACAAACAAUGAAUUUUAAAUUGACUCUUGUUUUAAAGUUUCCAACUUUAGAUAAAGCUCAUGGGGUACUGUUCAAUAUGACAGAGGACUUAAAAAGGCAGAUCACAGGUUAAUAAAGCUCGAAUCAAACACAAACCAAACUUGAACAAGCUAAUAAUAAAUGAACUCAAACAUGAACACUCACAUACUCGACUUGGUUCAGUUUGUUUGCAGUCCUAGGUCACUCAUAUUUACCUUGGUUUGCAAAACAAAUAAUGAAUUUUAAGUGGACUCUUGUAUUAAAGUUUCCAACUUUAGAUAAAGCACAUGGGCUCGGUAUCUGUUGGUCAUUUUCAUGAGGUACUGUGCAAUAUGACAGAAGACUUGAAAAGGCAGAUCACAGGUUUAUUUUUCUAUGGUUAAAAUUUGACAUGCUUUUGGAAUAAUUAUUGUCUACCCAUCAAUCAUAAUGGUGAGGCUUUGGGUGAUGAGACAUGUUCUGACUUUUGGCAUUGUUAUUGAUUUGUCUCUGGACGGAGCUUCGUUGGCCAACUCUUCGUAUUCUCUGUCUAUCAAAAGAUGAGGCGUCGAGGAUGGCUUGAAAAACAUUUAAAAUGAUGCAGCUAUUUUAUCUUAUAUUUAUAUCUUCUACCCGAGAGGACCGGAGGAAAUAGUUAAAACAAGAUAAUUAUUUUACAUGGCUGGGUUUCCCUGAACCUCAAUUUAGCUGUUUUUUCGUUGAAGACAUUUGAAAAUUAAAAAAAACAUAAGUUGUUAUUCAAGUAUUAACAAUUCAAUGUUUUAACUUGUUAGGAAGGAGAAUUAUUUGAUUGUUAAGUAAAUCUUAUAUAGAAAUUAAGUUCCAUUUAUUUAUUUAAGUGCCAUUUAUCUGGCUACGUAACACUUUGCAAUUACGUUCUGAUGCUUUGCAUCUGCAUGUUAAAUUGCUUUAUUUGGGAAUGAAUCUCGAGGCAUAUUUAAAUUAGAAUCUUCUGAAAUUAAAUUUGGGACCAUGAUUUCAUCAAGCAUAUAUUUGAACUGAACAUCUCUAUAAGAUGAAUCUUAGGACAUCAAAAUUUGUUCAAUCCCAGCCAAAAUGGGUCUAAGUCUAGGGGUUGAAGCAUAUUUGAAACCUUCAUAUGCCAUAUAGUUUGUGUUCAUUCUGAAUCAUCAAUGAUGAGUUUUAAGUUCGUGUUCUAAUUGCAUGAAGUUGUAUUUACUUUUGAAUUUUCACAAAGAAUACUCUGUAGGGCUCAUUCUGUUGCUUGAAGUUAGAAUAUAUGCUUUCUCUAAAGUGUAAAGUUACACUAAUGAAAUGGUUAUAUUUUGAUUCAUUAAAUAAGUUAAAAUAAGCUUAUCGCUUUUAUCAUGUUCAUAAUCUUGAUUUCUAUGAUUUGUGAGAAGAGAAAAUAACAUUAUCAUGUCUAUGAUGAUCAUUAUCAUUUCUAUGAUGAUCAUUAUCAUGAUUUAUAUUAUGCGGUGCAAGAAGCAUUUUUCAUGACUAUAAUGACUGCAAUUCGGUGCAAGAAGCUUUUUUAUUGAAUUCUUUCUGCAAGGAAUUUAUUAUUAUUAUUAUUUGUUUUGGUGGUGCGUGAGGUGGAUGUUGAUAGGUUAAGGUCUCAUGGUAAUGCCAGAAACUAUAGGAUUUCAAUUGUUAAAGUACUGGUUGACAGCAGUAUGGUUGAGAGUUGCAUUUAGAUAAAAAGUUUCCCUAUGUAGUUUUUCUUGACUAAUUAUUUUGGGUAUUGCUAUAAAUUUUUUUACCAGUCUCAUGAUGAUAGCGGUCAAAUGCUAAUGAUGUUGAUGAUCAUUGGAGGCACUUUUUUUUUUGAAACUCUAAUUCCUAUACAACCGCUUUUAAACAAAUUUAUACACAUCAGCAACAACUCAAUCAAAUAACAAUUUUUAGAAAACUUAUGCAUUAACUACAACCCAAUCAAACAAGGCUAAAGAGACAGAGUCAAAUAGUUGAAUAGUAGCAUAGAUACAUCUAUGCCUAUUCAAUUUCAAGCAGAAUCUCAUUAGCUAAAGGCAUAGGCGUGGCACCAUUCAUUACUGUCCAUCGACACAUCGGACAAAUUGGAUGUUGCCACAUCCAUGUAUCCACGCAUAUGGCAUGAAAUAAAUGUCCGCAAUCUGGUAAAAGCCUCAAUGUCUUAUCCUCUCCUUUCUCAUCAUCAUAGUCGAUAAGGCUCAGUGACGACAGACACAUCCGACAAGUUGGAGGUUACCACAACCAUGGAUCCACACGCAUGGCAUGAAAUAAAUGCCCACAAUCUGGUAAAAGCCUUAAUAUGCCUUACCCUCCCCUUCCUCAUCUUCAUAGUCGGCAUGGCAUUUUGAGCAUUACAUGAUUGGAAUUGAUUGAAUACUUUAGCUGGUAUGGAAAUGCUUGGAAGCCUAAGCUACUUCUUUGGCUGCUGGUAUCAAGUUUGCACUUCAAUUUGUAGAGAGCAGGCGGCAGGGGAGCACCACGGGGAAAAACACAUCAGGUCCCUUUAAUUAUAAAUUCUAUAUGUUGGCGGGGAAGGUUGGUUUUUUCUCUUAUAAUUAUUUGCCAGAACUAAUUUGUUGAUUGCUUUCGUGGCAAUAUUGGAAAUUUGAAGGUUGCAUACGAUAUUAUUUUGAAUGACAUGUGAUUCGGCACCAAAAAUUGUUUUGUUUGGGCACGAAUCUUGAAGCAUAUUUAAAUUAGAAUCUUUUGAAGUUAAAUUCGGGACCAUGCUUUCAUCAAACAUAUAGUUGAAUUGAACAUCUCUAUAAGAUGAAUCCUAGGAUGUCAAAAUUUGUUCAAUCCGAGCCAAAAUGGGUCUAAUUCUAUGGGUUGAAGCAUAUUUGAAAGCUUCAUAAUAUAAAUUCGGAUUUGUGUUCAUUCUGAAUCAUCAAUGAUGAGUGGUUAGUUUGAUUAGAAGAUUAAGUCGUGGGUGCUGAUUGUGAACAUUCUUAUUCUCAUUAUUUUAAAAGAGCAUGGGUUCUUAUCCUUUCAUGUAUUGUAUCUUUGGACUUCUAUUUUUACAUGAUCGAGGUUUGCAGUGGAUUUCAAAUAAAAAAAUUUUAUACUGGAAACUUGGAAGGUACAAUGAGUUGUAAAGCUUAAACAUUUGAAAAAGUGGGUGACUAGUAUAAUAUGUGUGCAGAUAAUAGCUAUUAUUCUUGUAAAAUGAAUAGUAGUCCUAUUGUCUCUCUCUUAGAGCUGUUUUUCUUCUAAAAUAGGUAAUAGUCUAUCACCUAUGUAACUUUGAGGGCCUUUGUAUUCAUUAUAAUUUUUAUGCAUGCAGGUGAAUUUGACUUUUUUCGGAUGACCCGGUUAGGAAAGUUGAGGCGGAAUCUUGGGAUCUUUUGAGAUUAGAAGGGGAAAAGCAAAUUGCAAUAUGAUGCUAAAUUUUAAUGGCGAAAUGCUAAUGAUGAUAAUGAUAGCUGGAGGCACUCCUCUGAGAUGUUCUCAAAGCAAAAUUAGAGUCAUUGGGAUCAUAGAAUGUACUAGCUGUGGAUGGUGAUGAUUUUCUCUAAGCUAAAUGCUAAUGAUGAUGGUGAUCAUUGGAGGUACUCUGAGAUGUUCUCAAAGCAAAAUUAGGACCCCUGGGAAAGAAAUUUUUGGCUGCUUUGUGUUGUCAUUCCUCUCUUUAUAAAGGGUUUGGUGGUGCUUGAAGAGGAUUUUGUUGAUAGUAGCUCUCAUGGCAAGACUCGAAACUUUAGGGCUGCUAAUAUUUAAGGUGCUGGUUGACAACGAAAUAGCCAAGUGUUGCAUGCAUGUAGAAAAAUUUUGCAAUGCAUUUUUCUCAACUAAUUAAUGUGGGCAUUUCUAAGAAUUUUCUUCACGAGCUCAUCAUGACGAUGGCUAAAUGCUUUUGAUGAUACUCACUCAAAAGAAUACUUCACUUAGUCUACCUUGUAUAUACUGUUGUAGUGCUUGAUAAUGUCCAGGAUUCAAAUCUUCUUCUUCUUCUUCUUCUUCUAUGGUAAUCACUUCAGCUAAAUGUAAUUUUUUCCUUGGUCCACUUCUACCAUUGUUUCUUUGACCAGGUACCUAUUAUUGUUGCAUGUUUUGUUAAGAAAGUGAAGUAUUACAUUGUUUCAUUUUCCUAUGCUCAAUUUUAUGUACCGGAGUUGCAAUGGCUAUUGUUUCGUCCUGGAGCAUUCGCGUUGGUAGAGAGAUAUAAUAUUUAACGUCCUUGUUUUGUAUGAAGAGCCAUCUCACAUACAGAUAAUAAAGAGAGAGAUGCAUCAUUCAAAAGAGGCAACCGAAUUUUUUACGUGGAAACCUUUCAAAAGGUGAAAAGAUAUGGGGCAUUGCCUAGUUAAAAUGAUUCCACUAGUGUUUGUCGUUGAUUACUAAUGAUUCUCUUACACGGGGAAUGGCCUUGGGUCAAUGUAGCAAAUAUACAUCAUAUAAAGUGCAUUACAUAGUUGGAGUUGGGAGCAUCCAGAGAUUUGAGAGGCUAUGUUUCGCCAAUACACCUAUUUAUGAAGGCUUGUUGUAUCCGAUACGCCGAUACACGGAUACACCUCUGAUACUCCACCGAUACGUGUCGGAUAUGCCAAAGCCAUAUCCAAUUAAAAUACUAUUUAAUUUCAAAAGGACACGUGUAUUCGAUAUUCGUGUCCAUUGAAAAACAAAAAGUAAUCCGAAAAAAAGAAGAAUCGUGUUUACUUCCGCGGCUGCGAGCAAGGUUCUCUCAUUUUUUUGAUGGAUUUGAGUUUCUUGAUGAUAUGAGAAUAUUAGAAAUUACUAAUCUUUCACUUGAUGAGCCUGAAUUAGAAGCUAUGAUAUUUAUUGAAGAUGAUAUAGAAGUUCAAACUUCAAAGACAAACUACUGAAAAAGUUAAUCAUAUCAUUCCUUUUAUUGAAUAGUUGAAACUUUAUGUGCUAGAA